AGCAGCCGCGGUAAUUCCAGCUCCAAUAGCGUAUAUUAAAGUUGUUGCAGUUAAAAAGCUCGUAGUUGAAUUUCGGGGUUAGUAGGUUGGUCAUGCCUCUGGUAUGUACUGGUCCCACUGAUUCCUCCUUCCUGAUGAGCCGUAAUGCCAUUAAUUUGGUGUUGCGGGGAAUUUGGACUGUUACUUUGAAAAAUUAGAGUGUUUAAAGCAAGCUAACGCUUGAAUACAUUAGCAUGGAAUAAUGAAAUAGGACGUUCGAUCCUAUUUUGUUGGUUUCUAGGAUUGACGUAAUGAUUAAUAGGGAUAGUUGGGGGCAUUAGUAUUCAAUUGUCAGAGGUGAAAUUCUUGGAUUUAUUGAAGACUAACUACUGCGAAAGCAUUUGCCAAGGAUGUUUUCAUUAAUCAAGAACGAAAGUUAGGGGAUCGAAGACGAUCAGAUACCGUCGUAGUCUUAACCAUAAACUAUGCCGACUAGGGAUCGGAUGAUGUAAUUUUUUAAUGACUCAUUCGGCGCCUUACG
rnacentral:rRNA from 1 species